CCUUUACUAUAGCUUCGCCUUGGCGUUAGGCGAACCGUAUGUGUAGAUAGGUGGGAGGCUAUGAAACCGGCGGGCGCCAGCUCUGGUGGAGCCAUCCCUUGAAAUACCACCCUUACUGUCGUUGACGUCUAAACCGAGGCCGUAUCCGGUCCCUGGGACAUGGCGUGGUGGGUAGUUUGACUGGGGCGGUCGCCUCCUAAAGUGUAACGGAGGCGGCGAUGGUGGGCUCAGACCGGUCGGAAUCGGUCGUCGAGUGCAAUGGCAUAAGCCCCGCCUGACUGCGAGACUGACAAGUCGAGCAGCAGACGAAAGUCGGCCAUAGUGAUCCGGUGGUUCCCGCGUGGAAGGGCCAUCGCUCCAACGGAUAAAAGGUA
rnacentral:rRNA from 1 species